CUUGAGGGUUUCCUUACACAUGCAGUCGAACGGUCUCUUCGGAGAUAGUGGCGGACGGGUGAGUAACGCGUGAGAAUCUGGCUUCAGGUCGGGGACAACCACUGGAAACGGUGGCUAAUACCGGAUGUGCCGAAAGGUGAAAGAUUUAUUGCCUGAAGAUGAGCUCGCGUCUGAUUAGCUAGUAGGAAGUGUAAGAGACUACCUAGGCGACGAUCAGUAGCUGGUCUGAGAGGAUGAUCAGCCACACUGGGACUGAGACACGGCCCAGACUCCUACGGGAGGCAGCAGUGGGGAAUUUUCCGCAAUGGGCGAAAGCCUGACGGAGCAAUACCGCGUGAGGGAGGAAGGCUCUUGGGUUGUAAACCUCUUUUCUCAGGGAAGAACAAAAUGACGGUACCUGAGGAAUAAGCAUCGGCUAACUCCGUGCCAGCAGCCGCGGUAAUACGGAGGAUGCAAGCGUUAUCCGGAAUGAUUGGGCGUAAAGCGUCCGCAGGUGGCAGUGUAAGUCUGCUGUUAAAGAGUGAGGCUUAACCUCAUAAAAGCAGUGGAAACUACACAGCUAGAGUACGUUCGGGGCAGAGGGAAUUCCUGGUGUAGCGGUGAAAUGCGUAGAACUAAC
rnacentral:rRNA from 1 species